CCCUGAAUUUUAAUCUUUUGUGAUUUUUGUCAACUUUGAAUGGGCGUAUGACAUUUGCGCCGAUUUUGAAAAUUUUCAUUCCUUCAUUUGCGCCGAUUUCAUUUUUUCAUUUGCGCCGAUUUUAUAUUUUUGCCUAAUUGGAUUUACAGGUAAGUUACAGGUAAGUUAAUACUUUUACAUGGGGUGAGCACAGAGUAUAAAGACAAAUCAAGUGACAUUGCAAUUGGUAAAUGGCUAUCCCAAUGUUUCGGGUUACCAUUCCUUUCCCUAAAUAAAAUCUAUGACUGCUCACGUUUGACAUUGUCUGACGCUCCGCUACUUCUGAUGACAAACGUCAUACAUUCUUAGACAACGUACAAGUACACAUUCCAUAACGGUCAACCAAUUCGUGAUGGCAUCUAUAAAAUUAACGAAGGGAUGAUUUUAACUGCACCAUUUGGAACUCCUUGUUUAAUAG
rnacentral:lncRNA from 1 species